rnacentral:misc_RNA from 1 species
AAGCAGAAGAAGAAGAAAAAUAAGAAGAAGAAGUAGAAGAAGAAGAAAGAAGGAGGAGGAGGUGGAGGAAGAAGAGCGAUAAAAAGAGCGGUGUAGACAGGUUGUGAGGCGAGUGAGAUCGCGAUCUAGGUCGCGGGUUAGUCCCGCAAACAAAAUCGCAGGAGAAGAAAAAAGGACAAAAACGUGGACGAGGAUAUAGGGGAGGACGUGGACGAGGAGGACGGAGCUGAGGACGGAGAGCCGAGAACGUGAGGAACGAAGGGUAAAAAGAUAGGGAAGAGGAGGAGGUAGUGGUGAUGAAAAGAUCGACGUCGACUCUCCAUUGGUGGUGUAGGAAGUACGAGUCGAGUUGUGUGGCAAAAAAAAGACCGACGAAGAAGCUCGUAGAGCUAAACAAAAUAGCGAAGGUGGAGCUGCCGAAGAAGAGGCGUUCCUAUCAUCGUCGGUGGUGUCGUCGAUCGGUCGUAACGCGACGAGGUGGUUUGGAAAAUAAUGCGCGUUAGAUACGUGACGGCGAGAAAAAGGACGCCGACGCCGAGGGCGAUCAAGAUUAACGGAAAGUGUGGAAUUAAGGCGACGACGGCGACCAAGACGACGACGGCAACCAAGACGACGACGACGACGACGACGGUGGUCGGCCGUCGAGCGGCAACGAUAGCGGUGGCGAAAACGGCGACCAAGCCGACAAGGACGACGACGACGACGACGACGACGGCAAACAAGAACAAGAUCAAGACCAAAACGACGAAGACGACAAGAUCGACUACGAAAACGCCGUUGAUAAGAAGACGAAGGAGAACAACGGCAAUCGCUAACGUUGUCAACGACAACAGAGUCGUAAGGAGGGAACAACUGCAGCCGAGAAAUCAGCCGCGACGGUAUUUAAUACAACGCAAUUAUGUACGCGUACGGUUUCGAAAUCACGUAGUACUCGAGGUGUAAUUAUGUUGUUGUUGUUGUCGUCGUCGUCUUUGCACGGCGCGCCCUGUGCAUCUUCACGGUGAAAAUCUGGCGUGAGAGUUGCCGCGGUGGAACGGGGAACAUGGCGUCGGUCUCGGCUGAGACUCGAUCCAGCCAUGGGCACAGUUUUGCUAAGAAGACGUUUCACAAGCCAACGUACUGCCAUAGCUGCACGGACAUGCUCUGGGGCCUUAUUCAGCAGGGGUACAUCUGCGAAGUUUGCAACUUCGUGGUGCACGACCGCUGUCUCAAGGCCGUCGUGUCUCCCUGCUCCAACAUCGCGGCAAGUCUGAUUAAGAACCCGGUUGCACAUUGUUGGACCGAACCGGUAACACGGAAAAAAAAAUUCUGCAAUGUCUGUCGGAAACGGUUGGACGAUAAUUUGUGUAUACAUUGCCAAAUAUGCGAGUAUUUCGUCCACACGGAUUGUCAGGACUUUGCGAUGGCAGAUUGCAAAGAAAACGCAACUUAUUUACCUGAAAAGGAUUUGGCUGCUGUAAAGCAUACGCAUCAUUGGAGAGAAGGAAAUCUUCCCAGCAAUUCCAAAUGUGCCGUAUGCAAGAAAAAUUGUUUCUCUGCCGAGUGCCUUUCUGGGUUUCGUUGCGAAUGGUGCGGCGUAACGUCGCACGCAUUCUGCUACAAAAGCAUCCCCACCGAAUGUACGUUUGGGAAUUUGGAAUCAAUUUACCUACCGCCGCAUGCCGUCAGUAUUCCACGUACCGAAGUACCAAUGGAAGCGAUUAUAGGAGUUCAAGUGCGUCGUAAAGAAGUCCUGGCGCGUGAGUAUUCUUACCAUAACAUCGGAGAGCAAUUCGAUUUCGCUGAGAGUGAACAAAUUGGGGCUGCAGGCUGCCUAGCUGAAGCUUUGAGGCGCCUUUCACUAAUUUUGCCACGUAGCUGCCAUGGAAAUUGUCAUGCUUCCCCUCCCUAUGUUCGAGCAUGUAUGUACAUAUGUUUCGCUUCAGUGCAUGCACUGUCACACUCAGCCCGCUGGAUGCUAUGUGAAAAAUCCAUGAUGCUUAUCACUCUCUACUAUGCAGUGAAAUGAAGUACAAGAAUGCUACUGAAUAAUUCUUCCUAUCAUGUGUGUUCUACAAACCCAUCGUAAAUGUUCGAUGGUAAGAGCAAGAAGCAUAUCGGAGGAAUUUAGCAGCGGCGAUGCUAAGUCUCGCGAUAACGACGAAUCCGGACAAGCUCCGCAUGGCCGUG